GGACAGCACAGCAGGUCAAAAUCAAAUACAAGAACAUUCUGCAGAAUGCAGUGAAAAAGAAUACCCACAGACAAGGCACGGGUGGUGGGUCACCAAAGGCUGACCUUACCCCAGCAGAGGACAUGGCCUUGGAGCUAAAUAAAGGCAGGCCCGUCUUAAGAGGGGAUCCCUGGGGGGAAAGAGACGAGCAUAGGUUCCUCCCAAGAUGCCACCCGCUUCAUUCAAGUGCCUGGCAGCACUGUGUUCCUGUUAGAGCCACCAGCACAAGCACCAGACGAUGCUGAUCCAGGUGAAGGCCCCAGUGCAGCAGCAACAGCACAUGAUGGAGACAAUGAUGAGGAGGAGACCAUCUCUCUGGAUUCCAGAAGGCAUGAGGACCCAGAUGCUAUACAGUGGGAAAACCAGCCUGGCAACAUAGUGCGUAUUAAUAAAAGGACACCACAUCCUGCCAAAUUCCAGCUGCGCUAAUUGUAUUGUGUUCACAGAGCUCACAAGCUAUCAGCAAGUUGUAUGGCAACCACCUCCGGCGCCAAAUAGAACUGGCAGACAUAGACAUUCAGUACAAGAAGAAAAAGAUGGAAAAUCUUGCACUGGAGUCCGAAAUAAAAAAGAGGACAAUUAGGAAACUGGACCUUGAAAUAAAAAAACUUGAGAGGGAGCUCCAAGAAGAUGACACAGCUCAAAAUAAAAAUUAGGUAUAUUCUCGUAAAGUCAAGUGAGCCAUGAGAUAUGAGCUCUUAUUGUGAGCACACAGGACGGUGGCAUCUUUCUAAGGUUUUUUUUUAUUUUCCCAUCAAUCAGUACAACCAAGUCAUCGUUAUAAGGCAUCGCCCUCUUUUGCCCACCCCCCCAGCACCAGGUGUGGCCACUAGCCUAUAUGAAGGCCCAAAAUUGUGUGUUCCUUUCUGCUCUGACAAUGGCAUGCCCAUUCGUGCGAGAUGUGGUGGAUGAAGAAGCACUUGUGCUGAGGAGAGCCUUCAGGCGAGAAAGGGUCUUCAGGGACCGGUUGGACCCACUGGCCAUCCCUGAUGACCAUCUAUAUGAAAGAUACAGGUUUUCUGCAGAUGGCAUCAGGUAUCUAUGCAGACUACUGGGUCCCAGGAUUAAGCACCGCACUGCACGGAGCCAUGCACUGAGUGUGGAGCAAAUGGUUUGUGUGGCCUUGCGCUUUUUGCUAGUGGAGCCUUCCUGUACUCAGUGGGGGAUGCAGAACAGCUGAACAAGGCCACAAUUUGCCGCACAAUAAGGAGUGUGUGUCUGGCUAUCAAAGCAUUAGCAGAUGUCUUCAUCUCCUUCCCUGGCCACAGAAGACUCUGUGACAUCAAAGAGGAGUUCUAUAGGAUUGCAGAUGGUCUGCAAUGCUGACUGUGUGAUCAGCAAUGUUGUGGCAAAAUGGCCUGGCUCAGUCCAUGACUCCAGAAUCUUUCGGGCCUCUGAAAUCUAUCAGUGCCUAUCACAAGGUGAAUUCUCUGGUGUGUUGCUGGGAGACAGGGGUAUGGCUGCCAGCCUUUUCUCCUGACACCUUUCACAGACCCCCAGGAAGCACAGCAGGCCUACAACCAUGCCCAUGCCAGGACCAGGGCCAGAGUUGAAAUGACCUUUGGCCUCCUGAAGGCACGCUUUCACUGCCUUCACAAAUUAAGGGUCAGCCCUGUUAGGGCAUGUGAUAUUACUGUGGCUUGUGCUGUCCUCCACAAUGUGGCCUGCCUGAGGAAGGAGAGGGCCCCAGAGUGCCACCAGCCAUGGACUGGGACAAUCCGGCAAUCUUCCCUGAUGACGACAGUGGUCGGCUGCUGAGGGACCAAUAUGUGUUGAAUUAUUUUAGUUAGUAUGUGUGCUUUCAAUUUUGGUUAAAUAUGUCCUGCGGUGGCAGAGGAAUUUGGGUUUUUUUGGGUUAGUUUUUGAC